rnacentral:rRNA from 1 species
GACAGAGGGUGCAAACGUUGUUCGGAAUUACUGGGCGUAAAGCGCGUGUAGGCGGCCCGGAAAGUCGGAUGUGAAAGCCCUGGGCUUAACCUAGGAAGUGCAUUCGAAACUGCUGGGCUUGAGUUCUGGAGAGGAAGGCGGAAUUCUCGGUGUAGAGGUGAAAUUCGUAGAUAUCGAGAGGAACACCGGUGGCGAAGGCGGCCUUCUGGACAGUGACUGACGCUGGGACGCGAAAGCGUGGGGAGCAAACAGG